rnacentral:rRNA from 1 species
UAGUCCACGCCCUAAACGAUGCUAACUCGAUGUGUGCAUAAGUGCGCAUCCAAGGGAAACCGUUAAGUUAGCCACCGUGGGGAGUACGUUCGCAAGAAUGAAACUCAAAGGAAUUGGACGGGGGUCCGCACAAGCGGUGGAGCAUGUUGGUUUAAUUCGAUGAUACGCGAGGAACCUUACCUAGGCUACUAAUGCGCGUGACCGUCUCCUGAAAGGGAGCUUUCCUUCGGGACACAAAGCAAGGUGCUGCAUGGUUGUCGUCAGCUCGUGCCGUGAGGUGCGUGGCCUUAAGUGCCGCAACGACGCGCAACCCCUAUUGUUAGUUGCCAGCGAGUAAUGUCGGGGACUCUAACAAGACUGCCGGCGUAAGCCGAGAGGAAGGUGGGGAGUGGACGUCAAAUCAUCAUGGCCUUUAUGCCUAGGGCUACACACGUGCUACAAUGGACGGUACAGAGGGUCGGCUAACCCGCGAAGGGGGUGCGUAAUCGUCAGAAAGCCGUUCCCAGUUCGGAUUGGAGUCUGCAA